rnacentral:rRNA from 1 species
GGGGGGCCUACCAUGCCAAGUCGAACGGUAGCACAGAGAGCUUGCUCUCGGGUGACGAGUGGCGGACGGGUGAGUAAUGUCUGGCAAACUGCCUGAUGGAGGGGGAUAACUACUGGAAACGGUAGCUAAUACCGCAUAAUGUCGCAAGACCAAAGAGGGGGACCUUCGGCCCUCUUGCCAUCAGAUGUGCCCAGAUGGGAUUAGCUAGUACGUGGGGUAACGGCUCACCUAGGCAACGAUCCCUAGCUGGUCUGAGAGGAUGACCAGCCACGCUGGAACUGAUACCCUCUCCAGACUCCUACGGGAGCCAUUCGUGAACAUUAUUGCUCUACUCACUCAAUCCUGAUGCCUGCAUGACGUGUGUAUCAGCCUGUCGCCGUGAUGAGCCCU